GAUGAACGCUGGCGGCGUGCCUAAUACAUGCAAGUCGAGCGAACGGACGAGAAGCUUGCUUCUCUGAUGUUAGCGGCGGACGGGUGAGUAACACGUGGAUAACCUACCUAUAAGACUGGGAUAACUUCGGGAAACCGGAGCUAAUACCGGAUGAUAUCUUGAACCGCAUGGUUCAAAAGUGAAAGACGGUCUUGCUGUCACUUAUAGAUGGAUCCGCGCUGCAUUAGCUAGUUGGUAAGGUAACGGCUUACCAAGGCAACGAUGCAUAGCCGACCUGAGAGGGUGAUCGGCCACACUGGAACUGAGACACGGUCCAGACUCCUACGGGAGGCAGCAGUAGGGAAUCUUCCGCAAUGGGCGAAAGCCUGACGGAGCAACGCCGCGUGAGUGAUGAAGGUCUUCGGAUCGUAAAACUCUGUUAUUAGGGAAGAACAUAUGUGUAAGUAACUGUGCACAUCUUGACGGUACCUAAUCAGAAAGCCACGGCUAACUACGUG
rnacentral:rRNA from 1 species